rnacentral:rRNA from 1 species
GACGAACGCUGGCGGCGUGGAUUAGGCAUGCAAGUCGAACGGUAGGAUACCUUCGGGUAUCUGAGAGUGGCGAACGGGUGAGUAACACGUAGGUGAUCUACCCUCAAGAUUGGGACAACCCAGGGAAACUUGGGCUAAUACCGGAUGAAAGCAGCAGUGAUGUUGUUUGAAAGGUGGCGUAAGCUGCCGUUUGGGGAUGAGCCUGCGCUCUAUUAGUUAGUUGGCGGGGUAAAGGCCCACCAAGGCGAUGAUAGGUAGGCGGCCUUAACGGGUGGUCGCCCACACUGGGAUUGAGAUACGGCCCAGACUCCUACGGGAGGCAGCAGUCGAGAAUAGUCUACAAUGGUCGGAAGACUGAUAGUGCGACGCCGCGUGAACGAUGAAUCCCUUCGGGGUGUAAAGUUCUUUUAUAUGUGAGCAGUGCUUCUUAUAUUAAACAGUAUGGGGAGAGAGAUAUUAGCAUAUGAAUAAGCAACGGCUAACUCCGUGCCAGCAGCCGCGUAAAC